UACGGGGGGAGCAAGCGUUGUCCGGAAUUACUGGGCGUAAAGGGCGUGUAGGCGGUUUAAUAAGUCAGAUGUAAAAGCCCCCGGCUCAACCGGGGAUGGUCAUUUGAAACUGUUAGGCUUGAGUGUGAGAGAGGGUAGUGGAAUUCCCAGUGUAGCGGUGAAAUGCGUAGAUAUUGGGAAGAACACCAGUAGCGAAGGCGGCUACCUGGCUCACAACUGACGCUAAGGCGCGAAAGCGUGGGGAGCAAACAGG
rnacentral:rRNA from 1 species